rnacentral:rRNA from 1 species
AUACGUAGGGGACGAGCGUUGUCCGGAAUUACUGGGCGUAAAGGGCGCGCAGGCGGAUAUUUAAGUCAGCUGUAAAAGGCAUGAGCUCAACUCAUGUAUGCGGUUGAAACUGGGUAUCUAGAGUGCUGGAGAGGUAGGCGGAAUUCCCGGUGUAGCGGGGGAAUGCGUAGAUAUCGGGAAGAACACCAGUGGCGAAGGCGGCUUACUGGCCAGCAACUGACGCUGAGGCGCGAAAGCCAGGGGAGCGAACGGGAUUAGAUACCCCGGUAGUCCUGGCCGUAAACGAUGAAUGCUAGGUGUGGGUGUCGAGAGGCAUCCGUGCCGGAGUUAACGCGAUAAGCAUUCCGCCUGGGGAGUACGAUCGCAAGAUUGAAACUCAAAGGAAUGGACGGGG